GUUUCCCUUUGUAUGAUAAGGUUCAGGGAUAAUUUUUUCCUGCCAAGUCUUCGCACCCCAUUUGGUGGGGUUGAUGUGAGUAAAGGAUGACAGUGAGUGCUGGCAGUGAGGUCAAAACCUCAGAAAGGAGGUGUGGAAGCAGCAGCUGGUAUGAUCCUGGCCUGCUGGUUGGGAACACCCCUUGGUUAUAAAUUAUAUCGAUCUACCUUCUUAUUCUUUGGUAAAGAAAGCUAUUUGGUACCAGCUUUUUCCUUUGUGCUUUGAUAAUUGAUACCUCAGAGGAGUCAUUUCUGUUUCCUUUCUGUGAUUGCUUCAUCCUAAGAAUGGGAUGGAAGAGCUGUGGACUACAGAGCCCUCACUCUUGUGAUUGACUCUAACACAAGCAAGUCUGACAUUAGGGUGGAUCUGCAUCUGCAGCCUGAAGGGGAUCAGACCAAAAGGUGCGGUGACUGACCUGAACCAGAGAACAAGAGACCCCAGAAAGGCCAUCUGACCACUAAGGGAUUUGGUUUCUAUGCCUGAACAUGAAGAGUUUCUUAGAUUUCUUUUCUGAGACUGAAAGGUAGGGCUGUGUUAUUUUAGGGGAUAAUUUAUUGUUCUGCAGUGCCAUCAGGCCUUUCAGGCAGGAAUUCAGGAGAGCUGCUCACUCUGAAAAGCUGUUCAAAGGUCUACAGUUCUCUCGUCUCACUUAAGCUUUUGGAAGGCGUUGGAUGACUAACACCCACAGAACCUCGGAUUUCUACAAACUCUUUAUCUUCUAAGUUUUAAAAGAAUUUUUAUUUCCAAAUUCCCACAUGAGGGUAAGAAGUGGUACAGAUUGCUAUCCUAAUUUUACAGAUUGGAAGACUGAGAACAGAAGAAUAACAACUUAUCCAGAUUUACAUAGCUAGACUUUUCAAGAGCAGAUUUUUUCUGUGGCCCAAGUUAGGACUUUUUAGCUUUACGAAAAACAAAACCUCUUUUCUCCACCUGGUUUUUCUUUAUUCUUUUUGCUGCUGAUUCUACUUUGCUCUGGCCUGAGAAGAAUUGGAAGUCUUCCUGAGAAGAGCCCCUCCCCCCACCACCGCCAAAAAAAAAAAAAAUACGUUGUAUAAGCUUCAGGCCCCUGUGUCCCUGCCCUACAGAUCUGUGACUGUGUUUGUGGCCUGCGUCU
rnacentral:lncRNA from 1 species